GGGUCAGUAGGUUGGUCGUGCCACCGGUACGUACUGGUCUCACUGAUUCCUCCUUCCUGAAGAACCGUAAUGCCAUUAAUUUGGUGUUGCGGGGAAACAGGACUGUUACUUUGAAAAAAUUAGAGUGUUUAAAGCAAGCUAACGCUUGAAUACAUUAGCAUAGAAUAACGAAAUAGGACGAUCGAUCCUAUUUUGUUGGUUUCUAGGAUUGACGUA
rnacentral:rRNA from 1 species